GACUACAGGGGUAUCUAAUCCUGUUUGCUCCCCACGCUUUCGUGCCUCAGUGUCAGUUACAGUCCAGAAAGUCGCCUUCGCCACUGGUGUUCCUCCUAAUAUCUACGCAUUUCACCGCUACACUAGGAAUUCCACUUUCCUCUCCUGCACUCAAGCCACACAGUUCGCAAGGCUUACAAUAGUUAAGCUAUUGCCUUUCACCCCGCGCUUACAUGGCCACCUACGCACUCUUUACGCCCAAUAAUUCCGGAUAACGCUCGCCCCCUACGUAUUACCGCGGCUGCUGGCACGUAGUUAGCCGGGGCUUCCUCCAAGGGUACCGUCAUUUGUUUCUUCCCCAAGGACAGAGCUUUACGACCCAAAGGCCUUCAUCACUCACGCGGCGUUGCUGCAUCAGGCUUUCGCCCAUUGUGCAAUAUUCCCCACUGCAGCCCCCCGUAGG
rnacentral:rRNA from 1 species